GAUGAACGCUAGCUACAGGCUUAACACAUGCAAGUCGAGGGGAAACGACAUCGAAAGCUUGCUUUUGAUGGGCGUCGACCGGCGCACGGGUGAGUAACGCGUAUCCAACCUGCCCACCACUUGGGGAUAACCUUGCGAAAGUAAGACUAAUACCCAAUGAUAUCCCACGAAGACAUCUGAAUGGGAUUAAAGAUUUAUCGGUGAUGGAUGGGGAUGCGUCUGAUUAGCUUGUUGGCGGGGUAACGGCCCACCAAGGCAACGAUCAGUAGGGGUUCUGAGAGGAAGGUCCCCCACAUUGGAACUGAGACACGGUCCAAACUCCUACGGGAGGCAGCAGUGAGGAAUAUUGGUCAAUGGGCGAGAGCCUGAACCAGCCAAGUAGCGUGCAGGAAGACGGCCCUAUGGGUUGUAAACUGCUUUUAUAAGGGAAUAAAGUGGGUCACGUGUGACUUUUUGCAUGUACCUUAUGAAUAAGAACCGGCUAAUUCCGUG
rnacentral:rRNA from 1 species